UACAAUAAGGAAAUGCCUUAGCUGUAGACAUCAUUUAUGGAACCGUAUAAAUAGAGCUCACAUUCAAAGGGUUUGCAAGAGAAGAACUGUAUGAUACAUUUACACAUGCAAGUACAGCAAGUACCUCUAACUGUUUCUAUGACAGAUUUUCAGCUUGUGCUCCUGUCUCUACGCUACCUGCCAGAGGACACUGGGAAAAGGGUCAGCGACUGGGAGAAGGACAGAUGAAAACACUGCCUAUGCAGUGGUGCAGGAGAUGAUAAAUCACAUGCCAGGCUCACCCCUGGACUGCCUCAGGAAGGGAAGCGAGAAGACAUGUAACAGUGAAUGAAGAAAAGGAACUCUGGACGAGAUAGGAGGUUUGGCAUAUCGCUCAGUGGUAGACCACAUCUACCACACAUGAAGUCGUGGGUUCAAUCCCUAGAACCGAAAGAAACAAUAAACGCAGAAACCAAAAUGACAGGGGACUGGAGUGAUACUUUUGGAUUUUUGGUUUCAUUACAGAACACA
rnacentral:lncRNA from 1 species